rnacentral:rRNA from 1 species
AGAGUUUGAUCCUGGCUCAGGACGAACGCUGGCGGCGCGCCUAACACAUGCAAGUCGAACGGAGCUUAGAGAGCUUGCUUUUUAAGCUUAGUGGCGAACGGGUGAGUAACGCGUGAGUAACCUGCCCUAGAGUGGGGGACAACAGUUGGAAACGACUGCUAAUACCGCAUAAGCCCACGGUGCCGCAUGACACUGAGGGAAAAGGAUUUAUUCGCUUUAGGAUGGACUCGCGUCCAAUUAGCUAGUUGGUGAGGUAACGGCCCACCAAGGCGACGAUUGGUAGCCGGACUGAGAGGUUGAACGGCCACAUUGGGACUGAGACACGGCCCAGACUCCUACGGGAGGCAGCAGUGGGGAAUAUUGCACAAUGGGGGAAACCCUGAUGCAGCGACGCCGCGUGGAGGAAGAAGGUUUUCGGAUUGUAAACUCCUGUCGUUAGGGACGAUAAUGACGGUACCUAACAAGAAAGCACCGGCUAACUACGUGCCAGCAGCCGCGGUAAAACGUAGGGUGCAAGCGUUGUCCGGAAUUACUGGGUGUAAAGGGAGCGCAGGCGGGAAGACAAGUUGGAAGUGAAAACCAUGGGCUCAACCCAUGAAUUGCUUUCAAAACUGUUUUUCUUGAGUAGUGCAGAGGUAGAUGGAAUUCCCGGUGUAGCGGUGGAAUGCGUAGAUAUCGGGAGGAACACCAGUGGCGAAGGCGGUCUACUGGGCACCAACUGACGCUGAGGCUCGAAAGCAUGGGUAGCAAACAGGAUUAGAUACCCUGGUAGUCCAUGCCGUAAACGAUGAUUACUAGGUGUUGGGGGAUUGACCCCCUCAGUGCCGCAGUUAACACAAUAAGUAAUCCACCUGGGGAGUACGACCGCAAGGUUGAAACUCAAAGGAAUUGACGGGGGCCCGCACAAGCAGUGGAGUAUGUGGUUUAAUUCGAAGCAACGCGAAGAACCUUACCAGGUCUUGACAUCCGAUGCAUAGCACAGAGAUGUGUGAAAUCCUUCGGGACAUCGAGACAGGUGGUGCAUGGUUGUCGUCAGCUCGUGUCGUGAGAUGUUGGGUUAAGU